rfam:Cedecea davisae DSM 4568 genomic scaffold Scaffold0, whole genome shotgun sequence.
ACCUGAGCCGCCAUUUCGCGGUCGGACAGGCCGCCGCAAAUCUGGAUGAUACGGUCAGACAGCGUCGAUUUACCGUGGUCGAUGUGGGCAAUAAUAGAAAAGUUGCGUAUGUUCUUCAUAGUUAGAGGUUUUUAUGCCUUACAAAUGGCCUGUGAGCUCGGCGCUUCGCGCAGUACGGAGCAGGAUGUCAGUGACUGUCUUCUGCCUGAAACGCCGCAUUCUACACUACAACCAGAAAGCGAGGAAACUGCUCAUCCUGCAAGCUUAGUUAAGCCGUAGGCAGGAUGUGCAAAGAUAUGUCAACCAGAGGGAAAUUACGGGUUUUCAGCCGGGGGAGUUGAGGUGUCGACGCGUAAUGCAUCCGGGCCAAGCGCAACGCUCAGGAUAACCGGCUGCCAGCUUUCACGGCUGCUGAAGCGCUGUGAAACGCCUCGCGCAAUCAGGAAGCCGCCCACGCCGCCCAGCAGCGCCCCGGCCAUAGCAGCGAGGUUGGUGCUAAACAGCGUCUGGAACAACGCGGAACAGAGGAAUAACCCGACCAGAGGCGACAUAUAAACCAGCAGAGCGGAACCCAGCAGGCUGCCUUCGGCAAUGCCCAGUUCAACUUUCUGCCCCGCCACCAGCGGCUGCUCGCUUGGCACCGACAGCAAAUGGCUGGUUUGCGGCCCGAGCUUAUUCAGUACCCGGGUGCCGCAACCCGAACGCGAAGCGCAGCUGCUGCAAGAAGCCUUGACGUCGCAGUGCAAUAAAGCCUCGCCGUUUUCCCAGGAGACAACGGUCGCCCACUCUUUAAUCAUGGCGUCGCCCCGUUGAAUUUAAUGCUGUCGGUAAUACGU